UGGACUUGCAAUUAUAACAUGGAAUCUCUACACACCCCAUGAGCUCGAUCCAAUCCACGCACACGAGUUGCCUGAGUAGCGACAGGUAUACCGAUGUGCAAUACGUAUCCGGCCAUAGGCACGGAACGAACAGGAACUGUGGUGCAGACAUACAAGGGCCAUGGGGCGGUACGCAAAGGAUACGGAUGAGCGAGUAUGCAGGCCCAAUACUCAAUAGCUCGAUCCGAUCCAAGCACAUGAGUUGACUGCGGCGUCAGGUUAACCAAUGUGCAAUACGUAUCCGGCUACGGCACGGAACGAACAGGAACUGUGGUGCAGACAUACAAGGGCCAUGGGGCGGUACGCAAAGGAUACGGAUGAGCGAGUAUGCAGGCCCAAUACUCAAUAGCUCGAUCCGAUCCAAGCACAUGAGUUGACUGCGGCGUCAGGUUAACCGAUGUGCUAAGAGAGUUGUUCCUGGGCCUUCAAAGUGACUUCAAAACUAUCUUAGCGAAUGGUGGCCAUGGGCGUAGACAUGAGCCACAAGUCACAAGGCCUGGGACUAUUGGGUAAUAAAGACAACUUAGUCAGAAAGUUAGUCUUUGGAC